rnacentral:rRNA from 1 species
AGUGAACGCUGGCGGUAGGCCUAACACAUGCAAGUCGAACGGCAGCACAGGAAAGCUUGCUCUCUGGGUGGCGAGUGGCGGACGGGUGAGGAAUACAUCGGAAUCUACUCUGUCGUGGGGGGUAACGUAGGGAAACUUACGCUAAUACCGCAUACGACCUACGGGUGAAAGCAGGGGACCUUCGGGCCUUGCGCGAUUGAAUGAGCCGAUGUCGGAUUAGCUAGUUGGCGGGGUAAAGGCCCACCAAGGCGACGAUCCGUAGCUGGUCUGAGAGGAUGAUCAGCCAACCUGGAACUGAGACACGGUCCGGACUCCUACGGGAGGCAGCAGUGGGGAAUAUUGGACAAUGGGCGCAAGCCUGAUCCAGCCAUACCGCGUGGGUGAAGAAGGCCUUCGGGUUGUAAAGCCCUUUUGUUGGGAAAGAAAUCCAGCUGGCUAAUACCCGGUUGGGAUGACGGUACCCAAAGAAUAAGCACCGGCUAACUUCGUGCCAGCCGCCGCCGCGG